rnacentral:lncRNA from 1 species
GCAGAGAAGAUCGGGCUUGAGUCCAUGGAUGUGGAAGCACUGAAGAAGUUGAAUAAAAACAAGAAAUUGGUGAAGAAGCUAGCAAAGAGGUACCAUGCUUUCUUGGCCUCAGAAGCAGUUAUUAAGCAGAUUCCACGUCUCUUGGGACCUGGUCUUAACAAGGCAGGCAAGUACCUUUAGCUAUUGCAACUGUAAAUCUGUUCAUCAUAUCUUAUUUAUGUGACUCAUUGUAAGUAGUAUUUCCAUGUUGUACUGAAUGUUCAAGAUGUCCCUUUUAGAAGAAUCAUAACCUUGAAAAUUAAUUUUAUAAUUUUGAUUUAACUUGAAAAAGGUUCCUAAUUGAUUUGCAUUUGUUUGUAUGCUUAUUGUUAUACACAAUUGAUUGAUCAAUGAAUGGUGUACUUGCUUGAAUAAUUUGACCUUGUAGUAGGGCUUUUCUGUAUUUCUUACUUGGAACUCUUAUGUAGUUUAUGUAGUUCAUGCAUAUAUGCAGGGGCACAGUUGUGAUAGGCCUGAUGGUUUUUACAUUUAACACAGUACAAGCAUUGUGAUUAGGGAGUGGUUUAAAUGCUAUUAUUGUCGUUGCUUAUUUGGACUAUUACGAUGCAGGUAAGUUUCCUACUCUUGUGACUCACCAGGAGUCACUUGAAGCCAAGGUUAACGAGACUAAGGCUACAAUUAAGUUCCAAUUGAAGAAGGUUCUCUGCAUGGGUGUUGCAGUGGGUAACCUUGACAUGGAGGAGAAGCAGAUAUUUCAAAACGUGCAAAUGAGUGUCAAUUUCCUUGUUUCCCUUUUGAAAAAGAAUUGGCAAAAUGUAAGUCCCGUUUACAUGUUCAUGGUUUUUGUUGAUAGAUGCGAUUUUGGUAAUUGGGUUUGCUUAUAUGUUGUUUUUGUGAUUGUAUCAGGUGAGGUGCUUGUUCUUGAAGAGCACCAUGGGAAAGCCACAACGUAUCUUUUAAGAAGUUAAUAAACUUUUGUUAUUGAAUUCGUAGAAUGACCAGUUGUGAUGGAGCAGAAACUAUUCAAAACUUCCCAGAAAUGGGUAAUUUUUUUGUUUCUCUUUUUGCGACGUUGAAAUNUAUGGGCCGAAGGCAUCUCCUCGCCGGCCUGAGGAGCAUCCCCCAAGUUACAUCCCGAUAAAUCGGGAUGAUAUUCGUCGGAUAGAUCGGGACACCAAUUUAGAUCGUAGUAAUUUGGGUUGUUUGGAUCCAUGGGGGUGUAGAGAGAGGAAGAAAUGAAGAAGAUGAAGAAGAAGAAGUGAGAGGGCGUAGGGAAAAAAAUGAGGAAGAAGAAGAAUAAAUAGAAGAAAAGAAAGGAAAAAAAAAAAAAAUUUUGAACGGUCAAAUAUACACGCAAACCGAGGAAUAAGAUUUUUUUUUUUUAAAUUAAGGCGCGUGCAUUGCACGCGCCUUACACUCUCGAGAAAUUGGGCUACACGAUAGAACGUGUAGCCCUCGUGUAACCUUCGUCUGCAACGGUUACACGAUAGAGCUUUUACACGAUAGGGCUAUCGUGUAAGCUCUAUCGUGUAACCGUUAUUGAUGCUCUAAUUAGUCUCUAAAAUUCGGUCACCAUAUCGAAGUCCGAACCCAACCCACCAAAAUAGGUGCUUAGUUGUAUCGUCCAUAAAGUGGGCUGCUACAAAUGGGGCUCCAAUUUAAGGCCCAAUAAGAAUCCUAGUUAGGGUUUGCGCGUCAAUAUUUAUGCUUCUGAAUCUGCGCCACUCUCCCUCUCCUUCAGUCAUUUCUGCCACCGUCUCACAACCCCUGCUCUAGGGUUUUUCUUCAGGUGCGCCGCUCCGCCGUUUCUCUCCACACUAUAUAUUUUUGCAUGUAUAUCUAUCUCUUUUUCGCAUUCUAUUUCAUUUUUCAGCUGACGUGCUUUGGUUAAUUUUGGUCUUUUAUUUUCUCCGUGUAGUGAUUCGGGAAGCUAAUUGACCGUGCACGAUGAGGUAAGUAUAAAUCUAUUAUUUUUAUUUUCAGAUGUUCUGUUUGAAGUUUGUUCCGUUUUCUGUGUUUGUUUUUGAUUGAGUUUUAGAUUCGACGGAAUCACCUGCUCUGUGUUUGUGCUUUCCGUGUUGAUUUGUAGCUACUUGAUUCCUUAAUUAUCUCAGUGUUGUAAAUUCAAGGCACGAUUAACGAUCUAAUAUUAGGUAGAAACUACAGGUCUUCAUCAAUAUUCUUGUGAUUUAGGAAAAUCUCCCGUUUGCUUGUUAUAGUAUUGUGUGGAGAGAGCUGUACUGUUCGUUAUAGAAUCAUGUGGAGAGAGCUGUACUGUUCGUUUUAGAAUCAUGUUUAGGCUUUAUGAUAUAUAGUUGGUCCUGAACAGUUAUUACUAGUAGGCUUGUUAGUCGAACAGUAUCAUGGAUGAGUCUGAUGUUAAGCUCUGCUUGCCUUUUCCCAUUUCCCUACAAAUAGGAAAAUAAGAUGUUGACAACAUGCUGAAGUUGUCUCUCAUUGUUAUUUCAGUAAGCUUCAGAGUGAGGCGCUGAGGGAAGCCAUCACAGUGAUAGUUGCAAAUGCCACUGAGAAGAAGCGCAACUUCACAGAAACUAUUGAGCUCCAGAUUGGACUCAAGAACUAUGACCCCCAAAAGGACAAGCGUUUCAGCGGGUCUGUGAAGUUGCCCCAUAUUCCAAGACCCAAAAUGAAAAUAUGCAUGCUUGGUGAUGCCCAGCAUGUUGAGGAGGUACGGUAGUUAGUUGUAUUUAAACUUUGCUUUACGGAAGUAGAGAGUAUGAGUAAUUUUUUAGUUUUUUGUUAGCAGUUGUGUUACUUUGGUUGCUAUUGUGAUAAAGUAGUAUUGAUCUAUAUAUCUUUUUCUUCUUUCACGAGGGUGUUUUUAGAUAGUUUUGGAUUGUUUUUUCGCUAUUGACAUGCACCCAGGUCUUCCUUGCUAUAAAUUUUAUUAGGAACUCUUUUGCUUGGUCCAAAUGUUGAAUUUUGCAUGUAUGGCUAUGUCAUCUACACUGUUUUGAUGUGAUUUGGAAUUGUUUCUUCAGGCAGAGAAGAUCGGGCUUGAGUCCAUGGAUGUGGAAGCACUGAAGAAGUUGAAUAAAAACAAGAAAUUGGUGAAGAAGCUAGCAAAGAGGUACCAUGCUUUCUUGGCCUCAGAAGCAGUUAUUAAGCAGAUUCCACGUCUCUUGGGACCUGGUCUUAACAAGGCAGGCAAGUACCUUUAGCUAUUGCAACUGUAAAUCUGUUCAUCAUAUCUUAUUUAUGUGACUCAUUGUAAGUAGUAUUUCCAUGUUGUACUGAAUGUUCAAGAUGUCCCUUUUAGAAGAAUCAUAACCUUGAAAAUUAAUUUUAUAAUUUUGAUUUAACUUGAAAAAGGUUCCUAAUUGAUUUGCAUUUGUUUGUAUGCUUAUUGUUAUACACAAUUGAUUGAUCAAUGAAAUGGUGUACUUGCUUGAAUAAUUUGACCUU